CUCUAGGUAGCCAAGUUGGUUUAAGGCGCAAGACUGUAAAUCUUGAGAUCGGGCGUUCGACUCGCCCCCUGGAGA
rnacentral:tRNA from 1 species